ACCAUCUUUUUGCAAGUUCUGGAACGUUGUGUGGUAAAGUAAACAAGCAUUUGAAGUCAGUUUUCCAUGCCAGUGGUGAUAAAUCGGCGUCCACGAGUUCAUCUCCUGGGGCGAAAUGAUAAAAAGAGAAACUUGUUUCUUGCAGCACUGUGAAUCUUCUAUCAGAGGUGUUACGUUACACAGGUGUGUCACCUGAAGGGCUCCUGACAGCGGCCUUUAACCCAGAACAAAUGUCUCGGUGCCUUAGGGUUUCAUCACGCCAAACCACAGUCAAACCAAAAUGUUCGACGAGAUAAGAACAGCAUUCCAACAUUCACGGGACACUGACAGGGGCCAAACACAUCAAAGAAAAUCUGACAUUCCUGCAUGGAAAGAAAAUGAAAACUAGAGUAACAGGUGAAAACAACAGAAAAUAUUAUCUGUAAGUUCAGAUUCACUUUUAAGCAACACAACAGUAAUUUGUUUACAUGUAGGAAAAGUUAAAAAAAAAAUGUAUUUGAUUACUUGGAUUUUUCUCACAGUUUUCAUGUGUUUUGUCGUGCUGUCAGUCUUUCACAUUUCUGUUGGAUGACUUGAUGUCCCUCCUGAGGUUUGAUUUUGUUGAAAUUCUUAGAAGUGACACACAUUGUGCCUUAUUACUUUUAUAAAACAUUGAUUCAAAAAUGAAUAAUUAUAUUUAAUAUUGAUAAAGCACCUUUAUAGCGGUCAAAGCACGUCAAAUAUGAUAAAUACAAUUGCUACUGGUUUAAACUAAACAAAUUAGUAUAACAAAUUAAUUUUCUUUAAAAGAACACAUUAAAACGACAGCAUUUAUCCACAUACUGUAUGCAAAGUAUUUGAAAUUAGA